UCUGGUGCCAGCAGCCGCGGUAAUUCCAGCUCCAAUAGCGUAUAUUAAAAUUGUUGCAGUUAAAAAGCUCGUAGUUGAAUUUCUGCUGCAUUGCUUGUGUCCCUCUGGGGUCUGUGCAUGUGGCUUUUUUCGGACGGAGUUUCUUUGUCUGAAUGUUUACUUUGAGAAAAUUAGAGUGCUCAAAGCAGGCUUUCGCCUUGAAUAGUUUAGCAUGGAAUAAUAAAGUAGGACUUUGGUUCUAUUUUGUUGGUUUUAGGUACCAAAGUAAUGGUUAAUAGGAACAGUUGGGGGCAUUCGUAUUUAACUGUCAGAGGUGAAAUUCUUAGAUUUGUUAAAGACGAACUACUGCGAAAGCAUUUGCCAAGGAUGUUUUCAUUAAUCAAGAACGAAAGUUAGGGGAUCGAAGACGAUCAGAUACCGUCGUAGUCCUAA
rnacentral:rRNA from 1 species